AUGAGGGAAAUAACAGUGAACAGAGACAGUAUCAAACACACACUCACCCAAACAAACACACUCACUUACUCACAUGCACAUACACACUCACUCACUCACUCUCACACACACUCACUCACACACACACUCACUCACAUGCACAUUCACUCACUCGCACACACACACUCACUCACACACUCGCUUGCACACAGUCACUCAUUCACACACUCACUUACACACUCUCACUCACUCACUCGCACACACACACACACUCACUUGCACUCACUUACUCACACACUCACAUGCACGAUCACUCACUUGCAGACAGUCAUUCACUCACACACUCACUUACAUUCUCACUCACUCACUCGCACACACUCACACGCACUUACUUGCAAGCACACACACACUCACUCACACUCUCCCGCACACUCACUCACACACUCUCACUCACAUGCACACUCACUCACUUGCACACUCACUCACUCACUUAAACACUUACUCACACACUCACUCGCACACACUCACUCACACACUUGCACACUCACACACUCACACACAAGCACACUUACACUCACACAAACACACAUGCACACUCACUUGCACAGACUCACACUCACUCACAUGCACAUUCACUCACACACUCUCACUCACUCACACAAUCAUUUACACACUCACUCGCAAACACUCACUCACACACUCUCACUCACACUCACUCGCAGUCACUCGAACACUCACUCGCACACACUCACUCACACACUUGCACACUCACACACUCACACACAAGCACACUUACACUCACACAAACUCACAUGCACACUCACUUGCACAGACUCACACUCACUCACAUGCACAUUCAGUCACACACUCUCACUCACAUGCACACUCUCACACACUCACACACACUCACACAAUCAUUUACACACUCACUCACUCACACUCACUCACUCACACACUCUCACUCGCAGUCACUCGAACACUCACUCGCACACACACACUCACUCACUUGCACACUCUCACUCACACGCACAUACUUGCAAGCACACACAAACUCACACUCUCUCGUACAAUCACACACUCACUCACACACUCUCACUCACUCACACACACUCACUCACUCACACACACUCACUCGCAGUCACUCGAACACUCACUCGCACACACACACUCACUCACUUGCACACUCUCACUCACACGCACAUACUUGCAAGCACACACAAACUCACACUCUCUCGUACAAUCACACACUCACUCACACACUCACUCACUUACACACUAUCACUCUCACUCACUCACACACUACUAACUCACUCACACACACUCGCACUCACUCACACACUUGCACACUCACACUCUCACUCACACACUCACUCUCACACACACACUCACAUAUUUUACUGUAUUUUUGAUUCUAGAAAUGCAGCGUUGAUGAGCAGAAGAGACUUCUUAAAAAAAUCUUACUGA
rnacentral:lncRNA from 1 species